UACGUAGGGGGCUAGCGUUGUUCGGAAUUACUGGGCGUACAGCGCACUUAGGCGGACUCUUUAGUAGGGGGUGAAAUCCUGGGGCUCAACCUCAGAAUUGCCUUCGAUACUGGCAGCCUUGAGUACGGGAGAGGUGAGUGGAAUUCCCAGUGUAGAGGUGAAAUUCGUAGAUAUUGGGAAGAACACCAGUGGCGAAGGCGGCUCACUGGCCCGUAACUGACGCUGAGGUGCGAAAGCUUGGGGAGCAAACAGG
rnacentral:rRNA from 1 species